CCCGACUGCUAUUUGGGUGAGGAUAAGCCAUGCGAGUCGAAUGGGAUACCUAAAUUUCCCAUGGCGAACUGCUCAGUAACACAUGAUCAACUUAACCUAUUGAGAAAGAUAACCUCGGGAAACUGAGGAUAAUAUUUCAUAGUUGAAUUGGCUUGGAAAAGUUUUUCAACAAAAGGGAUAGGGAAAAUGGUCUCUAUCCGCUAUAGGAUAGGAUCGUGUUCGAUUAUGGUAGUUGGUGAGGUAACGGCUCACCAAGCCGAUAAUCGAUAGGGGCCGUGAGAGCGGGAGCCCCGAGAUGGGUACUGAGACAACGACCCAGGCCUUACGAGGCGCAGCAGGUACGAAACCUCCACAAUACACGAAAGUGUGAUGGGGUUACCCAAAGUGUUCAUUAUUGAACUGUGGUAGGAGAGUAAUGUCCCCUACUAGAAAGGAGAGGGCAAGGCUGGUGCCAGCCGCCGCGGUAAAACCAGCUCUUCAAGUGGUCGGGAUAAUUAUUGGGCUUAAAGUGUCCGUAGCCGGUUUAGUAAGUUCCUGGUAAAAUCGGGUAGCUUAACUAUCUGUAUGCUAGGAAUACUGCUAUACUAGAGGGCGGGAGAGGUCUGAGGUACUACAGGGGUAGGGGUGAAAUCUUAUAAUCCUUGUAGGACCACCAGUGGCGAAGGCGUCAGACUGGAACGCGCCUGACGGUGAGGGACGAAAGCCAGGGGAGCGAACCGGAUUAGAUACCCGGGUAGUCCUGGCCGUAAACGAUGCAUACUAGGUGAUGGUAUGGCUAUGAGCCAUAUCAGUGCCGUAGGGAAACCGUUAAGUGUGCCGCCUGGGAAGUACGGUCGCAAGGCUAAAACU
rnacentral:rRNA from 1 species